AGUGAACGCUGGCGGUAGGCCUAACACAUGCAAGUCGAACGGCAGCACAGGAGAGCUUGCUCUCUGGGUGGCGAGUGGCGGACGGGUGAGGAAUACAUCGGAAUCUACUUUUUCGUGGGGGAUAACGUAGGGAAACUUACGCUAAUACCGCAUACGACCUACGGGUGAAAGCAGGGGAUCUUCGGACCUUGCGCGAUUGUAUGAGCCGAUGUCGGAUUAGCUAGUUGGCGGGGUAAAGGCCCAGCAAGGCGACGAUCCGUAGCUGGUCUGAGAGGAAGAUCAGCAGCACUGUAACUGAGACACGGGCCAGACUCCUACGCGAGGAAGCGGUGGGGAAUAUUGGACGAUGGGCGCAAGCCUGAUCCAGCCAUACCGCGUGGGUGAAGAAGGCCUUCGGGUUGUAAAGCCCUUUUGUUGGGAAAGAAAUCCAGCUGGCUAAUACCCGGUUGGGAUGACGGUACCCAAAGAAUAAGCACCGGCUAACUUCGUGCCAGCCGCCGCCGUAA
rnacentral:rRNA from 1 species